CCUGCCAGAGGCACUGCAGGGUGUAGUCACUUGCAACACUCCUGUCUGACAACUCCCAGACUUUUCCUGCUUUAAUCUCUUCAAUGCCCAACUCAGAGAUAAAUCUUCCUAAAAUAUCAUUCUCACCAUGUUGCUUUCCUGGUCAAGAACCUACAGGCUCUCCUCAUAGAUUACUGCAUCAAGAUCCCAAUUCUCAGCUGGGCAUGAUGGCUCAUGCCUGUAAUCCUAGCACUUUGACAGGUUGAGGUGGGUGCAUAGCUUGAGCCCAGGGAGUUCAAGAACAGUCUGGGCAACAUGGCAAAACCCCAUCUCUACCAAAAAAAAAAAAAAAGGAAAAUUGGCCAGGUGUGGUGGUGCAUGCCUGUAGUUCAGCUACUCGGAGGCUGAGGCAGGAGGAUCACUUGAGCCCAGGAGGUUGAGGUUGCAGUGAGCUGAAAUUGCAUCACUACACUCCAGCCCAAGUGAUAGAGUGAAAGACUCUGUCAAACCAACAAACAAACAAACAAAAAACAAAAACACUCAAAUUCUCUACUUGAAAUUCACGGUUCUGGCA
rnacentral:lncRNA from 1 species